UGCGUAGGUGGCGGGGUAAGUCGGAUGUGAAAUCCCGGAGCUCAACUCCGGAACUGCAUUCGAUACUGCUUUGCUAGAGUACUGGAGAGGAGAUCGGAAUUUACGGUGUAGCAGUGAAAUGCGUAGAUAUCGUAAGGAAGACCAGUGGCGAAGGCGGAUCUCUGGACAGUUACUGACACUGAGGCACGAAGGCCAGGGGAGCAAACG
rnacentral:rRNA from 1 species